ACGAACGCUGGCGGCGUGCUUAACACCUGCAAGUCGAACGGAAAGGCCCUGCUUUUGUGGGGUGCUCGAGUGGCGAACGGGUGAGUAACACGUGAGUAACCUGCCCUUGACUUUGGGAUAACUUCAGGAAACUGGGGCUAAUACCGGAUAGGAGCUCCUGCUGCAUGGUGGGGGUUGGAAAGUUUCGGCGGUUGGGGAUGGACUCGCGGCUUAUCAGCCUGUUGGUGGGGUAGUGGCUUACCAAGGCUUUGACGGGUAGCCGGCCUGAGAGGGUGACCGGCCACAUUGGGACUGAGAUACGGCCCAGACUCCUACGGGAGGCAGCAGUGGGGAAUAUUGCACAAUGGGCGGAAGCCUGAUGCAGCAACGCCGCGUGCGGGAUGACGGCCUUCGGGUUGUAAACCGCUUUCGCCUGUGACGAAGCGUGAGUGACGGUAAUGGGUAAAGAAGCACCGGCUAACUACGUG
rnacentral:rRNA from 1 species